ensembl:lncRNA
CAUUGUUUACUUCUAAUGACCAACACACACCAAUCUCAGCCCUUCUCUCGGCACAUUUUUUAUGUUUGUUUUUCCACUAACAUUUGUCAUCAUGCCUGUGGGGUGUUCUGUCUUUCUGUGCUAAUUACAAACAUGAGUUAGCUUUCACCAUUCUACCUACCAGAGAUUUACCCUGAUGCUUCCAGAUGUUUGUGGCUAUCAAGAAUGAUGCUUACGGUGACCAAAGAUUAUCAGAGGGAUUUCAGACUGAAUGGAUGGGGAAUCCAUUUAGACGACAGCUGAGAAGUGAGGUGUUACUGUACACAAUCCGAUUCCACCAACAUGUGUUUCCAACCCCUAGCUCUGCACUAGGUGAAGCCCUGCUGAAAAAUACCCCAAGGGAAUGAGAUUUUUGGUAGACGCGCAUGAGGGAGGGACCACACCUUGUGGUAAUGGAGCACAACAAGAUUGUGGGACAAGAACAAGCAAGGGACCCUGAAAGGAGACAUGGAGUACCAGCAAAUCUUCUGCAAGAGGUCCAAACAGUUGGUGGUUGGUCUACGAGCCCUACACCACUUCCGGCAGUCUUAUCCAGCUGGCCGUUCA